GUUGUGCAGUGCACGGCUUGCACAUAGGCACAUGGUGACCUUGCAGCUAGGGGUGGGGGGAUGGGGGUCACAAGCAAGUUACUAAUAUUUUCUUUAAGCUUCUGUCUCCUUAAAUGUAAUAUGGUAAUCCUACUACCUUCCUCACAGGGUUGCCUUGAGGAUUAAAUGAGAUCAUGCAUGCCGAGAGAAGAUUACAGUGGCUGGCACAUGGGAGCUGCUGAGUAAAUAGGAGCCUUUAUCAUCUUGUCUUUCCAGAUUCAAGAGUGUGCUUUGCUGUGCAGUGAGCUCUAAACAAGUCUGAUCUUAUCUGGGAAGGCUCAGGCCCAUCUGAGAACAUGCACGUGGCUUAUUGAGACCUUGGCGCUGAUCAAUAGAAAUAGUGUUCUCAACUGCUGCUGGAAGGUUAGUAACCUCCUCUGAGAUUCUGCUGCUGAAGUGGCUACACAGAGGUCUCCCCAUCUCUUUCUUGCAAAGAUCAGACAUAAUAACAAUAAAAAUUCUUUAUUAUUAUCAUGCAAUAAAUAUUUGACAUUUG
rnacentral:lncRNA from 1 species